UCGACUACUAAUUCAAAAGUUUUAGAAUCAUAUUCAGUGAUAGCAUACACUCUGACAUGGGCUGAUGAUUUAUGAGGCAGUGACUCUUUCUUCUUGUUCAAAGGGCAGUCUUUUAUUUUAUGAUCCAACUUUCUACAAGCAAAAUAGACUCCAGUCACCCGAAAACAUAAAUUUGUUUCAUAAUUUAACUUGUAAUUCACACAUGAUUGAGUCUUUUGUGGUGACUUCCCAUUUCAAAUCCAAAUUUCUUGACCCUUUUGUUAUUACUUUCUGAUUCAUUUCCAAUCAUAUUUUUAUUGGUAAACUUAUCCUUAUCAUUCUUGCCACAAAUCUUCAAAAAUUCUUUUCAUUGUUGCCAUUAAUAAUCAGUCUCUACUUCCAAUAUAAGGUAGGAAAAGAAAUCUUUUGAUCAUCAGAACAAUUUUGUAUAUCAAAUAUCUUCUCUGUUUGCAUCAUUCGUUUUUCUACCACCAAUGAAAUUAGGUUCACCAUGCUUUCAUUGCGCUACUCUGAUUUAGUAUCCUCGAUCAACCCUUUCAUCCACCUUAAUUAAUCAGAAACAAAUGAAAUAGGAGGACCCAAAUGUCCUCAUCAUCCUAAAUUCCUAAAAUGCAUCAAAAAAAUUUCCACCAAUCACUAUAGUUCAUUAGACCUCAAUAUAUUUUGCACGUCAACAUAUCAAAUAUUUCAGUGAUCCUCAAACCAUGCUUUGAUACCA
rnacentral:lncRNA from 1 species